rnacentral:rRNA from 1 species
GGAGGAAUAUUGGUCAAUGGGCGAAAGCCUGAACCAGCCAUGCCGCGUGAAGGAAUAAGGCCCUAUGGGUCGUAAACUUCUUUUGACGGGGAGCAAUAAGGUCUACGUGUAGGCCGAUGAGAGUACUCGUCGAAUAAGCAUCGGCUAACUCCGUGCCAGCAGCCGCGGUAAUACGGAGGAUGCGAGCGUUAUCCGGAAUUAUUGGGUUUAAAGGGUGCGUAGGCUGUUUGGUAAGUCAGCGGUGAAAUUCCAGUGCUCAACAUUGGCCGUGCCGUUGAUACUGCUGGGCUUGAAUGCGGAUGCCGUGGGAGGAAUGUGUGGUGUAGCGGUGAAAUGCAUAGAUAUCACACAGAACACCGAUUGCGAAGGCAUCUCACGAAUCCGCAAUUGACGCUGAGGCACGAAAGUGUGGGGAUCAAACAGGAUUAGAUACCCUGGUAGU